AGUUACAAAUGAAUGUAUAUUUUCUAAUUUAGAAGCGGGAGUUGAGGUGCUUUUCGUCGUCCUGCUAUCCGGUUUAUUUUUUGAAAUCUGCCCUCUAAGUGGCUUAAAAUUGUUCCCGUGUACAUCCUUUUUGUUCAACACAUAAGCGCCAGCACGGUCUUCAGUUUCUCAUCUCCCCCUGCUCUCUCUCUCUCUCAUCUCUUUACAUUGUUCAAGGUAUAAAUCUCUCUUUUCCCCUUCGUUUUCUCCCUAAGUUUGGUAUUGUGGGCUGUUGAUUUUGUUCCUGGGUUUUUGGUAUUCGAGAGUUCUGGUCGAAUUGAACUCAAGCCCAAGUUGCUUCCACUAUAACUCUUCACACCAAAGCAAGACUAGAGAAGAUGAGGUCGAUUUUCUUUUUGCGGCUGCUGGGUGAUUCAUUUUCUCCCCCCUGCUGUUCUCCGUAUUGGCAUUGCUGAAACAUAAAAUUACGAGUUCUGCUGAGAGGCGAGACUUGCUUUUGCUGAAAUUUCAUGUUCGUUUGUGUGUGCUACUCUGGUGAUUAGUCUUCUCAAAGAAAUAACUCUGACUGGCUGAGAAGCUGUGCCAACUGAUUACCCGUGAAUCAUACGAACUCAACCAAAGUUGUCCCGAGACAAGAUCUUUGCAGGUAACUUGUGGAAUUAGUUGAGGUGUGCAUAAGCUGGCCUGGACACUAUGGUUAUUAAAAAAAGGAAUAAUUCGUCAGAGAUAGUUAAUUGGGGCUGCUGGAUAACGGAGAAAACAAUGAACAUGCUUGUUGACAAAUUCGACCCUACAUAUGACAGACAUAGCAGGAGGAGUGGGCGAACAGCUUUUAUUUGAAAAUUUAUAUACUGCCAUGAUUGCCUUUUUGCUCUUGUUGAAUCUCCUUUGUAGCAGUAGCUUCAUGUUUUACUGAGUUUAGGGAUCAUAUAGGAAUCAAAGUAGUAAGUUUGCUUUUCCUUUGUCUCUCUUUAGUCGUAGUUGCCCAUAUAUAUAACCUUGAUUCUUGUGGCACCAUUAUAUACGUGCGUGAAAGUGGUAGAGAAUGUUGGCUUCAGAAGUUUUACUCGGUAUGCUUGGGCCCAUUGUUGCCCGGUAACAGUAGUGUUAUGCAAGUACUAAUUUAAUUUAAGAUUCUGGUCAUGUGUUCUUCCUU